CCUACGGGCGGCAGCAGUGGGGAAUAUUGCACAAUGGGCGCAAGCCUGAUGCAGCCAUGCCGCGUGUGUGAAGAAGGCCUUCGGGUUGUAAAGCACUUUCAGCGGGGAGGAAGGCGUUAAGGUUAAUAACCUUGUCGAUUGACGUUACCCGCAGAAGAAGCACCGGCUAACUCCGUGCCAGCAGCCGCGGUAAUACGGAGGGUGCAAGCGUUAAUCGGAAUUACUGGGCGUAAAGCGCACGUAGGCGGUCUGUCAAGUCGGAUGUGAAAUCCCCGGGCUCAACCUGGGAACUGCAUUCGAAACUGGCAGGCUAGAGUCUUGUAGAGGGGGGUAGAAUUCCAGGUGUAGCGGUGAAAUGCGUAGAGAUCUGGAGGAAUACCGGUGGCGAAGGCGGCCCCCUGGACAAAGACUGACGCUCAGGUGCGAAAGCGUGGGGAGCAAACGGGAUUAGAUACCCUUGUAGUC
rnacentral:rRNA from 1 species